rnacentral:rRNA from 1 species
UAUGUGAUCGUCUCUCGCAUAUCAAUAAGCGGAGGAAAAGAAACUAACGAGGAUUCCCCUAGUAACGGCGAGUGAAGCGGGAAGAGCUCAAAUUUGAAAUCUUAAAGGGUUUCCCUUUACGAAUUGUAGUUUAAAGAAGUGUUUUCUGUUGAGGUUUUGGUAAAAGUUCUUUGGAAUAGGACAUCAUAGAGGGUGAGAAUCCCGUAUUUGACCUUUACUUUCAACUUUGUGAUACACUUUCAAAGAGUCGGAUUGUUUGGGAAUGCAGUCCAAAAUGGGUGGUAAAUUUCAUCUAAAGCUAAAUAUUGGCGAGAGACCGAUAGCGAACAAGUACCGUGAGGGAAAGAUGAAAAGAACUUUGAAAAGAGAGUUAAACAGUACGUGAAAUUGUCAAAAGGGAAGCGUUUGACACCAGUGUUGUUUUUCUGAAAAUCAAUUAAAGAACUGUUUAUGCUAAGUUGUUUAGACUUUAUCAGCUAUCUGCUUAGUUUUGAGCUUUUCUUUAAUGCACUUUUCAGUUAACAAGUCAACAUCAAUUUCUUUUGCUGUAAAAAAGCUUGAGGAAGGUGGCUUGAGAUUCGUCUUAAGUGUUUAUAGCCUCUUGCCUAUGCAGUCGGAGAGAUUGAGGUCUGCAGCGUAGAUCCUUCGGGGCUAAAUGCAUUUGUGCUAAGUUAUAGCAUUUUAUAGACAACUUGUUGACUAUGAUUUGUCUUGUAGCUUACUCGCUUAUGUUAUUUUACCUACGCUUAGGAUGUUGAUCUGUAGUGCGUGCGCC